GUUGUGGGUUGAAUUGGUUUGUGAUCGUUGUGCUCCCCGCUGACCCGCUAAAUCUCUUUCUAACGACUUCUAAAGCUAAGGUAACCAAGUUAACCAAAGAC